rnacentral:rRNA from 1 species
GACGAACGCUGGCGGCGUGCUUAACACAUGCAAGUCGAACGGAAAGGCCCUGCUUUUGUGGGGUGCUCGAGUGGCGAACGGGUGAGUAACACGUGAGUAACCUGCCCUUGACUUUGGGAUAACUUCAGGGAACUGGGGCUAAUACCGGAUAGGAGCUCCUGCUGCAUGGUGUGGGUUGGAGAGUUUCGGCGGUUGGGGAUGGACUCGCGGCUUAUCAGCUUGUUGGUGGGGUAGUUGCUUACCAAGGCUUUGACGGGUAGCCGGCAUGAGAGGGUGACCGGCCACAUUGGGACUGAGAUACGGACCAGACUCCUACGGGAGGCAGCAGUGGGGAAUAUUGCACAAUGGGCGGAAGCCUGAUGCAGCAACGCCGCGUGCGGGAUGCCGGCCUUCGGGUUGUAAACCGCUUUCGCAUGUGACGAAGCGUGAGUGACGGUAAUGGGUAAAGAAGCACCGGCUAACUACGUG